UACGUAGGGGGCAAGCGUUGUCCGGAUUUACUGGGCGUAAAGAGCGCGUAGGCGGAAGCUUAAGUGUGGCCUGAAAGCCCCCGGCUCAACCGGGGAGGGUGGCUGCAAACUGGGCUUCUUGAGGGCGGCAGAGGAGAGUGGAAUUCCUGGUGUAGCGGUGAAAUGCGUAGAGAUCAGGAGGAACACCGGUGGCGAAGGCGGCAUCCUGGACCAAUAUUGACGCUGAGGAGCGAAAGCUAGGGGAGCAAACGGG
rnacentral:rRNA from 1 species